UGCAGGUUAGAGAAGUGGUCAUCUCGCUUGGCUCAUAACCAGAAGAUCGCAGGUUCGAAUCCUGCACCUGCAACCA
rnacentral:tRNA from 1 species